rnacentral:rRNA from 1 species
GACGAACCGUGCGAACGUUGUUCGGAAUCACUGGGCUUAAAGGGCGCGUAGGCGGGCGGUCAAGUCUGUGGUGAAAUCCUCCGGCUCAACCGGAGAAUAGCUGGAGAUACUGAUCGUCUCGAGGGGGGUAGGGGCAUGUGGAACUUCCGGUGGAGCGGUGGAAUGCGCAGAUAUCAGGAGGAACACCGGUGGCGAAGGCGGGUCUCUGGGCCAUUACUGACGCUGGAGGAGCGAAAGCGUGGGGAGCGAACAGG